rnacentral:rRNA from 1 species
UACGGGGGGGGCAAGCGUUGUUCGGAAUUACUGGGCGUAAAGGGCUCGUAGGCGGCCAACUAAGUCAGACGUGAAAUCCCUCGGCUUAACCGGGGAACUGCGUCUGAUACUGGAUGGCUUGAGUGUGGGAGAGGGAUGCGGAAUUCCAGGUGUAGCGGUGAAAUGCGUAGAUAUCUGGAGGAACACCGGUGGCGAAGGCGGCAUCCUGGACCAACACUGACGCUGAGUGAGCGAAAGCGUGGGGAGCGAACAGG